rnacentral:rRNA from 1 species
UACGGAGGGGGCUAGCGUUGUUCGGAAUUACUGGGCGUAAAGCGCACGUAGGCGGCUUUGCAAGUUAGAGGUGAAAGCCCGGAGCUCAACUCCGGAAUUGCCUUUAAGACUGCAUCGCUAGAAUUGUGGAGAGGUGAGUGGAAUUCCGAGUGUAGAGGUGAAAUUCGUAGAUAUUCGGAAGAACACCAGUGGCGAAGGCGACUCACUGGACACAUAUUGACGCUGAGGUGCGAAAGCGUGGGGAGCAAACAGG